rnacentral:rRNA from 1 species
GACGAACGCUGGCGGCGUGCCUAACACAUGCUUUUCGAACGGAGUUAACCGCUGAUUUGAUACUAGCUUGCUAGAGGAUUUUCUUGGUUAACUUAGUGGCGGACGGGUGAGUAACGCGUGAGCAACCUGCCUUUCAGAGGGGGACAACAGUUGGAAACGACUGCUAAUACCGCAUAACGUAUAACCGAGGCAUCUCGGAUGUACCAAAGAUUUAUCGCUGAAAGAUGGGCUCGCGUCCGAUUAGGUAGUUGGUGGGGUAAAGGCCUACCAAGCCGACGAUCGGUAGCCGGACUGAGAGGUUGAACGGCCACAUUGGGACUGAGACACGGCCCAGACUCCUACGGGAGGCAGCAGUGGGGGAUAUUGCACAAUGGGGGAAACCCUGAUGCAGCAACGCCGCGUGAGGGAAGAAGGUUUUCGGAUUGUAAACCUCUGUUUUUAGUGAAGAAACAAAUGACGGUAGCUAAAGAGGAAGCCACGGCUAACUACGUGCCAGCAGCCGCGGUAAUACGUAGGUGGCAAGCGUUGUCCGGAAUGAUUGGGCGUAAAGGGCGCGUAGGCGGCUCGUUAAGUCUGGAGUGAAAGUCCUGCUUUCCAGGUGGGAAUUGCUUUGGAUACUGGCGAGCUUGAGUGCAGGAGAGGUAAGUGGAAUUCCCAGUGUAGCGGUGAAAUGCGUAGAGAUUGGGAGGAACACCAGUGGCGAAGGCGACUUACUGGACUGUAACUGACGCUGAGGCGCGAAAGUGUGGGGAGCAAACAGGAUUAGAUACCCUGGUAGUCCACACUGUAAACGAUGAAUGCUAGGUGUAGGGGGUAUCGACCCCUUCUGUGCCGCAGUUAACACAAUAAGCAUUCCGCCUGAGGAGUACGGCCGCAAGGUUGAAACUCAAAGGAAUUGACGGGGGCCCGCACAAGCAGCGGAGCAUGUGGUUUAAUUCGACGCAACGCGAAGAACCUUACCAGGUCUUGACAUCCAAUAAAUCCUGUAGAGAUACAGAGUGCCUUCGGGCAUAUUGAGACAGGUGGUGCAUGGUUGUCGUCAGCUCGUGUCGUGAGAUGUUGGGUUAAGUCCCGCAACGAGCGCAACCCUUACUUUUAGUUACUAACGCGUAAUGGUGAGGACUCUAGAAGGACUGCCGGGGACAACUCGGAGGAAGGUGGGGACGACGUCAAAUCAUCAUGCCCCUUAUGACCUGGGCUACACACGUGCUACAAUGGCCACCACAGAGAGAAGCGAGCCUGCGAGGGGGAGCGGAACUCAAAAAAGUGGUCCCAGUUCGGAUUGUGGGCUGCAACCCGCCCACAUGAAGUCGGAGUUGCUAGUAAUCGCGGAUCAGCAUGCCGCGGUGAAUACGU